rnacentral:rRNA from 1 species
CCUACGGGAGGCAGCAGUGAGGAAUAUUGGUCAAUGGACGAGAGUCUGAACCAGCCAAGUAGCGUGAAGGAUGACUGCCCUAUGGGUUGUAAACUUCUUUUAUAUGGGAAUAAAAAGUACCACGUGUAGGAUUUUGUAUGUACCAUAUGAAUAAGGAUCGGCUAACUCCGUGCCAGCAGCCGCGGUAAUACGGAGGAUCCGAGCGUUAUCCGGAUUUAUUGGGUUUAAGGGGUGCGUAGGGGGUAUUUUAAGUUAGUGGGAAAAGUUUGGGGCUCAACCGUAAUUGGCAAUUUAAACUGGCGUUCUAGAGUACAGAAGAGGUAGGCGGAAUUAG